rnacentral:rRNA from 1 species
UACGUAGGGUCCAAGCGUUAAUCGGAAUUACUGGGCGUAAAGCGUGCGCAGGCGGUUCGUUAAGUCAGCUGUGAAAGCCCCGGGCUCAACCUGGGAAUUGCGGUUGAAACUGGCGAACUAGAGUCUGGCAGAGGGGGGUGGAAUUCCACGUGUAGCAGUGAAAUGCGUAGAGAUGUGGAGGAACACCGAUGGCGAAGGCAGCCCCCUGGGCUGAGAUUGACGCUCAGGCACGAAAGCGUGGGGAGCAAACAGG